rnacentral:rRNA from 1 species
UACGUAGGGUCCAAGCGUUGUCCGGAUUUAUUGGGCGUAAAGAGCUCGUAGGCGGCUCAGUAAGUCGGAUGUGAAAACUCGGGGCUCAACCCGAGACGCCAUCCGAUACUGCUGUGGCUUGAGUCUGGUAGGGGACACGGAAUUCCUGGUGUGCGGUGGAAAUGCGCAGAUAUCAGGAGACAGCCGAUGGCGAAGGCAGU